rnacentral:lncRNA from 1 species
AAUAAAAAGCUUGAUUUUUUUGCUUGUGAUUUGGUAGAAUAACAUAUUUCAUUUACGAGAUGAUUUAUUUUUAUCCAAAAAAAUAAUUUAAAAGCCGAAUAUAAUAUCUUAUUCUAAAUAUUUGAUCACACUCUUUAUCAAUCAAGCAUACAUAAUUCUUAAUUAAUUUAGAAAAUAUACCAAAUAAGACAUUCAUGCAUCUAAAUAGGACCUAAAAAGCUUGUAAUAUUCAGUAGAGAAGAAUAUCACAUUAGACAAGAAACGUAAUCAAAUAUUCAGAAUAAAAUAUCAUAUUCUAUCUUUAAAUUAUUUUUUUCUUCCGGAAUAAAAUGAGACUAGGGAUGUCAAUGGGUAUGGAUACCCGAAGUUUUAUCCGAAUCCGAACCCGAAUGAAACGGAUAUAUCCGGUGGAUAUGGAUAUCAAAAAUAGAAAACCGACGGAUAUGGAUUCGGAUAUGAAUUUUGAUUGUACCCGACCCGAACCCGAACCCGACCCGAACCCGAAUUUAUUUUGUAUUAUAUAUAAUAUAUAUAUAGAAAAAUUUGAUGUUAUAUUUGAAUUUGUAUUUUAAAAAUUUAGGUUUAAUAUAAUAUAUUUUGAAAUAUUGAAAAAAGAAAUAAUUGUUUCGGGUUCAAAUUUUCGGGUUCGGGUUCGGGUUCGGGUUCGGAUUUCGGAUUUUUGGUCGGGUUCGGGUUUGGAUAUGGAUUUUUAAAAUCCGUCGGGUUCGGGUUCGGGUUCAGAUCUCGGGUUUGGAGUCGGGUUCGGGUUCAGGUUCGGGUUUUUAAAAAUCCGUCCCGAAUCCGACCCGUUG